AAGGAAGAGGGGAUUCGUGAAAAGAGCUGCUAACUAUUUUUCAAGGCGGUUUAAUUCCGUCACUUCCUUG
rnacentral:tRNA from 1 species